rnacentral:rRNA from 1 species
AAUCAACGCUGGCGGCGUGCCUAACACAUGCAAGUCGAGCGAGAAAGGGUAGCAAUACCUGAGUACAGCGGCGCACGGGUGAGUAACACGUGGAUAACCUGCCUCAAAGUGGGGGAUAACACCGGGAAACCGGUGCUAAUACCGCAUAUUCUGACGAGACCUGAGGGUUUUGUCAGGAAAGGAGUAAUUCGCUAUGAGAGGGGUCCGCGGCUGAUUAGCUAGUGGUGAGGUAAUGGCUCACCAAGGCAACGAUCAGUAGCCGGUCUGAGAGGACGGUCGGCCACACUGGAACUGAGACACGGUCCAGACUCCUACGGGAGGCAGCAGUGGGAAUCUUGCGCAAUGGGCGAAAGCCUGACGCAGCGACGCCGCGUGAGGGAUGACGGCCUG